GAUGAACGCUGGCGGCGUGCUUAACACAUGCAAGUUGAACGAGUGGCGAACGGGUGAGUAAUACGUGGGUAACCUGCCCUCUUUUUGGGAUAAGCCUUGGAAACGGGGUCUAAUACCGAAUAAAGGGGGAUGGGCUCGUGGCCUAUCAGCUUGUUGGUGGGGUGCUGGCCUGACAAGGCGGUGGCGGGUAGCCGGGCUGAGAGGGGGAACGGGCACAUUGGGACGGAGCAACGGCCCAGAGUAGUACGGGAGGGGGCAGUGGGGAAUAUUGCCGAAUGGGCGAAAGCCUGAUGCAGCGUCGACGAGUGGGGGAUGAGGGCUUUCGGGUUGUAAACUUCUUUCGCAAUGGAACCGGUAGUUGGAGAAGAAGCGCCGGCUAACUACGUGCCAGCAGCCGCGGUAAUUC
rnacentral:rRNA from 1 species